UACAGAGGUCCCAAGCGUUGUUCGGAUUCACUGGGCGUAAAGGGUGCGUAGGUGGUUAGGUAAGUCCGAUGUGAAAUCUCCAGGCUCAACCUGGAAAUGGCAUUGGAUACUAUCUAGCUUGAGGAGUGGAGGGGGGGACUGGAAUUCUCGGUGUAGCAGUGAAAUGCGUAGAUAUCGAGAGGAACACCAGUGGCGAAGGCGGGUCUCUGGGCCGUAACUGACGCUGAGGAGCGAAAGCGUGGGGAGCGAACAGG
rnacentral:rRNA from 1 species